CCUACGGGAGGCAGCAGUGAGGAAUAUUGGUCAAUGGGCGGGAGUCUGAACCAGCCAAGUCGCGUGAGGGAAGACGGUCCUACGGAUUGUAAACCUCUUUUGCCGGGGAGCAACGGGGUCCUUGCGAGGGCCCAAUGAGAGUACCCGGAGAAAAAGCAUCGGCUAACUCCGUGCCAGCAGCCGCGGUAAUACGGAGGAUGCGAGCGUUAUCCGGAUUUAUUGGGUUUAAAGGGUGCGUAGGCGGGCUGUUAAGUCAGCGGUCAAAUGUCGGGGCUCAACCCCGGCCUGCCGUUGAAACUGGCGGCCUCGAGUGGGCGAGAAGUAUGCGGAAUGCGUGGUGUAGCGGUGAAAUGCAUAGAUAUCACGCAGAACUCCGAUUGCGAAGGCAGCAUACCGGCGCCCUACUGACGCUGAGGCACGAAAGCGUGGGUAUCGAACAGGAUUAGAUACCCCUGUAGUC
rnacentral:rRNA from 1 species